rfam:Penicillium coprophilum strain IBT 31321 PENCOP_contig005, whole genome shotgun sequence.
GGUGCCAUGGUCUAGUGGUAUGACGAAUCAUUGUGGUGAAGUGCAACUGUACCCAUCGGUUCUGAUUUAGCCCCGGUUCGAUUCCGGGUGGCGCCA